rnacentral:lncRNA from 1 species
AAUUAUCUCAAUGUCGGGUUGAUCUGCAGGAGGUCAGAACACAGAAAAAGGAAGAAGUCUUUGAUUGGAAGGACUCAAGACAGUAUCAAGAAAGUUGGCCACAAGACAAAAAGGCUGGAGUGCAGUGGUGCGAUCUCGGCUCAUUACAACCUCGUCCACCUCCUGUUGGCCAGACUGGUCUUGAACUCCUGACCUCAAGUGAUCCACCCACCUCUGACUCCCAAAGUGCUGGGAUUACUGUGCCUGGUCCUCACUUUUUGUUUGUUCUCCAAAUAAAGACUUUUCUGGGC